rnacentral:tRNA from 1 species
UGGUGUAGCUCAACUGGUAGAGCACCUGAUUUGUAAUCAGUAGGUUGGGGGUUCAAGUCCCUUCACCA